rnacentral:rRNA from 1 species
CUCGGGUGCGAAAGCUAGGGGAGCGAACGGGAUUAGAUACCCCGGUAGUCCUAGCCGUAAACGAUGACCACUAGACGUUGGAGGUAUCGACCCCUUCAGUGUCGUAGUUAACACGCUAAGUGGUCCGCCUGGGGAGUACGGUCGCAAGAUUAAAACUCAAAGGAAUUGACGGGGACCCGCACAAGCAGCGGAGCGUGUGGUUUAAUUCGAUGCAACGCGAAGCACCUUACCAGGACUUGACAUGUCUUCGCACCGACGGUAAUGCGUCGUGCUCUUCGGAGACGGAGACACAGGUGCUGCAUGGCUGUCGUCAGCUCGUGUCGUGAGAUGUUGGGUUCAGUCCCGCAACGAGCGCAACCCCUGUCGUUAGUUGAAUUUCUCUAGCGAGACUGCCGGUGAAACGGAGGAAGGAGGGGACGACGUCAAGUCAGCACGGCCCUUACGUUCUGGGCGACACACACGCUACAAUGGUCAGGACAAUGGGAUGCGAACCCGCGAGGGGGAGCCAAUCUAAGCAAACCUGGCCUCAGUUCAG